rnacentral:rRNA from 1 species
AGAGUUUGAUCCUGGCUCAGAGCGAACGCUGGCGGCAGCCUAACACAUGCAAGUCGAGCGGUCGUAGCAAUACGGCAGCGGCAGACGGGAGAGUAACACGUGGGAACGUACCCUUCGGUUCGGAACAACCCAGGGAAACUUGGGCUAAUACCGGAUACGUCCGCAAGGAGAAAGAUUUAUCGCCGGAGGAUCGGCCCGCG